CCUACGGGUGGCAGCAGUCGAGAAUCAUUCACAAUGGGGGAAACCCUGAUGGUGCGACGCCGCGUGGGGGAAUGAAGGUCUUCGGAUUGUAAACCCCUGUCAUGUGGGAGCAAAUUAAAAAGAUAGUACCACAAGAGGAAGAGACGGCUAACUCUGUGCCAGCAGCCGCGGUAAUACAGAGGUCUCAAGCGUUGUUCGGAAUCACUGGGCGUAAGGCGUGCGUAGGCUAUUUCGUAAGUCGUGUGUGAAAGGCGCGGGCUCAACCCGCGGACGGCACAUGAUACUGCGAGACUAGAGUAAUGGAGGGGGAACCGGAAUUCUCGGUGUAGCAGUGAAAUGCGUAGAUAUCGAGAGGAACACUCGUGGCGAAGGCGGGUUCCUGGACAUUAACUGACGCUGAGGCACGAAGGCCAGGGGAGCGAAAGGGAUUAGAUACCCGAGUAGUC
rnacentral:rRNA from 1 species